rnacentral:ncRNA from 2 species
GUUUAUACCAAGGGGGGCCGCAGGCAUGCGGCUGAGAUUGCGAUAGCGCCUCGCGACAACCCGUAGAACCUGAUCCGGUUAGGACCGGCGGAGGGAAUGGUCUUGCGAAAGUGC